AUACGGAGGAUGCGAGCGUUAUCCGGAUUUAUUGGGUUUAAAGGGAGCGCAGGCGGAGAUGCAAGCGUGACGUCAAAUUUCGGGGCUCAACCCCGUCUCGCGUCGCGAACUGCGUCCCUUGGUUGCGGGAAGGGGAGGCGGAACUCGGGGUGGAGCGGGGAAAUGCAUAGAUAUCACGAAGAACUCCGAUCGCGAAGGCAGCCUUCCGGCCCGUCAACGACGCUCAUGCUCGAAGGUGCGGGUAUCAAACAGGAUUAGAUACCCUGGUAGUCCGCACAGUAAACGAUGGACACCCGCGGUUUGGCCUGUAUGGCUGAGCCGCCAAGCGAAAGCGUUAAGUGUCCCACCCGGGGAGUACGCCGGCAACGGUGAAACUCAAAUGAAUUGAC
rnacentral:rRNA from 1 species